CUGGCCGAGCGCGAUGGUCGCGGGCGCCGCAAGGCGUCCCGAGGAAAGUCCGAGCUCCACCGGGUAGACUGCCAGGUAACACCUGGGCGCCGAAAGGCGACGGACAGGGCCACAGAGAAUAGACCGCCCGGCGGGCAACCGCCGGGUAAGGGUGAAACGGUGGGGUAAGAGCCCACCGCGACGCCGGCAACGGCGGCGGCACGGUAACCCCCAGUCGGAGCAAGGCCAAAUAAGCGGCGAGGUGUGACCCACACCGGCAGGACAAGCCGCGGGUAGGCUGCUAGAGGUGGCCGGCGACGGCCAUCCCAGACAGAUGACCAUCCCGGGCACGCGAGUGCCGGGAACAGAACUCGGCUUACGGCUCGACCAGCGCG
rnacentral:RNase_P_RNA from 1 species